ACGCUUCUCCUAAAGACUAAGCCAUGCAUGCUUUCGAAUAAGAGGAAGCAAUUCUCUCUGAAUCUGCGAACGGCUCCGCACACCAGUUGUAAACUAUAGCAAGCAUGCUCGGCGUUCGGCCUUCGCGGGUCGGGUGUCGGGCGAUAAGGAUAACCCUGGUAAUUCUGAGGCUAAUACGAGACCGUAAUCCCUGGCUGACCGGUCAAACGGGAGGCUGGGGGACGUGUAAGUGGGUCGCAAGGAUGACCGGGAAAGAAUGCACGUUCUGACCGCGACAAAAACGGACCACUUGUGGCCCGAGCGGCUCUUGCGAUGUGCUUCUGACCUAUCAACUAGAUGGCAGCGUAACGGACAUGCUAUGGUUGCAACGGGUACAGAGGAUUAGGGUUCGAUCCUGGAGAGUGGGCCUGAGAGAUUGCUCACACUUCUAAGGAAGGCAGCAGGCGCGCAACGUUCCCCUUGGGCAAUGCUCGAGGGCGUUAGGGGACAUAUGAAUGCUUGCCAUUGGUAGGCAAUUCAAAUGGGUCUGUUGUAAACAGCCUC
rnacentral:rRNA from 1 species